ACAUGCUUGUUCACAAUGCAGGAGGUUUUUGUACGGCCACUUAAUGAGUUUGUAUCACUGUGGUUGACUUUUGGUGGAGGAACCAAACUCAUCAUUAACUCUGGCACCAUGGUCAGGCCCUCAGUCUCUCUGCUUCCCCCCUCCUCUGAGCAGCUCUCUGGGGGCUCGGCCACGCUGGCCUGCCUGCUGACCGGCUACUCUCCUCAGGGAGCCGUGGUGAGCUGGCAGGUGGACGGUACGGAGGUGACGGAGGGGGUCCUGAGCAGCUCAGAGGAGGAGAAGAGCGGCCGCUACAGCAGCAGCAGCACCCUGAGCCUGAGCCAGGAGCGCUGGAUGGAAGGAGAGCUGUACUCCUGCAGGGUCCUCCAUCAGGGCCACAGCCAGACCCAGUCCCUCCACAGGAGCCAGUGUAAGGGCUAGAGGGGCCGGCUGAAGCCCAGGACAGGAGCUCUGUGUGGGGGGGAGCAGCUCUGAUCAAUAGCAGUUUGAAUGCUUGUAGAGGAAACUGAAGCUUUGUGUGACAGAGAACAACACUGCUGUAAAGUGUUGGACAACAACAACUUAGAGAGGAAUGUGUGUCGCUCAGCAGC